AUAAAUUGAAUGAAGAGGGCAGUGUGUGUGUCAUGUGUGUGGACAAACAAACACGAGUUAUAACAUAUAGCAGUUACGUACGGCGUGUUUGGGUUAGAGAACAUCUUUGAUGAGUUGGAGAUUAGCCAUGGCUGCCGAAGCCCAAGGCGACGAUGAAAACGAUGAUCCCCAUGAUGUAGAGAGCCUGAUGAUGGUUCUUAAAUCGAUCGCAUCCAUGAUUUACCAGAACUAUUUUUCAGAGGUUCAUGCCGAUUCUGAAGGGAACACACAAACUACAAUCGAGGCAUCGAUAUCCUCGAUUUAAGGCCAAGGGAUGUGUUGCCUUUCAAGAGUGACUUCGGACCAAGAAAUGCUCCUCACCUGACCCUGGUUUAGCACUUUCGAUAGCAUACCCCAAUCUGGUAUG